rfam:Picea glauca, whole genome shotgun sequence.
ACCUUCUUAUCUCAAAGUUUAGAGCAUCGCACUUGUAAUGUGAUGGUCAUCGGUUUGAUCCCGAUAGUUGGCU